rnacentral:lncRNA from 1 species
UUGCGAGUUCUAAGGACUAGGAGAUACACAACAGCUACCUUCAAUCAUUUUAAAAGUUUCGACCCCUUCCCCCACCCCUCUCAUUCACUAAAUGCAAAUUAUGCACUAGUGAAUAGCCUUCAGACCACAUAAGCAGCUGCUCCAACAGGGACUCCCCCUCCCCCUCUGAUGUGUGGCUUCUCUACUCAAGCAAACAGCUGUGAGCAUUCCGAAGCAAUUCCCCUGCCUGCCUCUUCUCCAGCAAACAGGAGCUGUUUGUUUUUUAGAUAAGCAGCUCCUGGGAGCCUGGGAUUCAGCCACUCUUCCGGUUUGCUGUGAACAGGCAUUCUGGGAUACCUCCUAAUACCCUGGAGGCCAGUUACAACGCUUUUGGUGGCCACACUUGUGGAGCAGCGCUGCAUUACCAGCGCUGCAAUCCUUAUACCUCAGGCAGAGCAGGAGUACAGCCAGCGCUGCAGCCAGGGAGAUGCAGGGCACAUACAGCGCUGCAAGUGUGGACAGUGAGUAAGUUGCAGCGCUGGUGGUGGGUUUACAGCGCUGCAACUCUCUAGUGUAGCCAAGCCUUAAAACUGCAAGACAAAUUUUUAGACUGUAGUAUCAAACUAUCUCUAAUGCUGGUCUGAGAUAACUGUUUAACUUUUUCUAGGCAUGAACAUGGCAAACAUCUCAGAGUGGUUUGAAAAACUUCAUGCUGGAUUUGGGAAUGGAGUUGUUGCUGGUUCAAUUGGCCUUUUUUGGAGAGAGAAAAAGGAACCAUUUUAGUUUAUUGCUCCUGCAAGAGGUAAAUAGCUUUUUUCCUUGUAUUCCUUUUCAUGAUUUUCUUUCAGUUAAUUGAAAAACUAUCUGAAUUGUAUUUUUUCAAAGAGCAAAUCACAUGUAUUCUGACCUUGCUUUCUUGAUACUUGAUUUGGUAGAAGGAGUUUGAGUAAUAGAAACAGAUUAAAUAAC